UGUAACACCCUCGGUUUCCAAUAAUCGAUUUUACCAUAAAUCAUGCUUUCGUUCUCUCCUUUUCCAUGUUUACUUGGUCCAUCAAUUCAUAAAUCUGACUCUUUAGUUGCGUCAGGAUCGCCGAGAUAGUCGAACUGCACUACCUAUUUCCUCAAGUCGGACUCCGGGUUCAUCUCCUAUGAUUUAUUUCAUUCUCAUGGCUUAUAUUAUUAGGGAAUUUCAAAAUAUUCUCUAAUUCAGGAAAUAGAAAAAAAAACUGAACCUUAUCUCUUACCUCUCCCUCACAAUGUGAGCUAUCCUUGUCCAUAGGAGGCGUGCUCCACAUCUUUCUUCUCUUCCCCAAGCCAAAGGGAAGAAUCCCUUUCUCCUCUCUUCUCCAGCCAGCCUACUCCCUCCUCCCUUCCUUCCCCACUCCUCCCUAGGUGCCUCCUUGCUGCACCACGCCCUUCACCAUCUCCAUGGCUGCCCUUUGAUUCAGGGCUUUGAGGAAGAAGGAAAUGAGACAAGAAGAGGGAGAACAAGAAAGCUUCCCAAACUUUUCCCUUCACCAAAUCUUUGUGAUUUGACCAUAGAGGUACAUCACCAUGAGGCUUUGCAAGUAGUAGGAAGGGUGUAGCUCCCAUGGGUGUCCACUCACACAUUUCACACCCCUUCCAUCCACCUAGCUGAUCAUGAUAACUCUCGUACUUAGGUCCAUGAUUCUAAAUAGCUAGGAUCUACGUGUUGUAUAUAAACUUUGCCUUGGUUUGUUCCCAUGACCUUUGUGCUUACGUGUCAAGGUGGGUUGAAGUUUGUUAGUCCCCACCUAGUAUCAUGCAUGCUUGGAACGUGUGUUUCCUUCGUUAUGUGUGGCAUAACGGUUUGUGGUUUCACCACUGUGCUCUAUAUGGGUUAUAUGAUCUUGUAAAUGUUUCCGCUUGUGAUAUUGUAUAAGCUCUGUUUAUUCAA